rnacentral:rRNA from 1 species
GAUGAACGCUGGCGGCGUGCCUAAUACAUGCAAGUCGAGCGAACAGACGAGGAGCUUGCUCCUCUGACGUUAGCGGCGGACGGGUGAGUAACACGUGGAUAACCUACCUAUAAGACUGGGAUAACUUCGGGAAACCGGAGCUAAUACCGGAUAAUAUAUUGAACCGCAUGGUUCAAUAGUGAAAGACGGUUUUGCUGUCACUUAUAGAUGGAUCCGCGCCGCAUUAGCUAGUUGGUAAGGUAACGGCUUACCAAGGCGACGAUGCGUAGCCGACCUGAGAGGGUGAUCGGCCACACUGGAACUGAGACACGGUCCAGACCCCCAGGGGAGGCAGCAGUAGGGAAUCUUCCGCAAGGGGCGAAAGCCUGACGGAGAAACGCCGCGGGAGUGAUGAAGGGCUUCGGAUCGUAAAACUCUGUUAUUAGGGAAAAAAAAAUGUGUAAGUAACUAUGCACGUUUUGACGGUACCUAAUCAGAAAGCCACGGCUAACUACGU